AAAUAUUGGAGGAGACUGAUAUGGAAAAGGUAAGAUAUCUAAUUGUAUAUAUAUUUUUUUAUGUGUUUCAAUUGUCAUGCACCCAUUCAACUUGAACACAUAAUUACCUUAAAAAAAAAAAAAAAAAAGCUAUAUGUUUAUAAAAAAAUCACACAAUUUUAAUCAAAUUAUUUGAUUUUGAUUCAAAUUAAUUGUUUUAAAUAUCAUAAUAAUCAUAUCCAUCAUGAUUAGCCUAAUAAUUGUUUAUAUUAGUGAAUUGUAUGUCUUUUCUUUUUCAAUGUUAUUGUAAUUAAUAUGGUAAUAAACAUCAUACCUAUUUUAGUUUAAAUUUUAAGGAAAUAAUACAAACUUUUAAGGGUUAUGCUAUUUUGUAUAAUUUAGAACUUCUUUGGUAAGCUUUUGUAUAAUAUAAUAAAAUUAAGCUGAUCAUGGAAAGUUGAUUUCAGAUAAACAACUUAAAGAUACCUUAUGCAAUAACUCUGAAGAAAGAUAACCAACUCAAAGAUGCCGUGUGAAAUAAAACUGCAAGUGUGAAAAAAUGGCUUGAAUCACCGACAAAAAAUUAAAGAAUCAUUAAUUUCCUAAUAGAAAAUUCUGAAAACUGUUGAAUCAUCACCAAAAUAAAACAAUGUCGAUUUCUUAAUGGAAAUUGGAGAAUGCUCAUUUGUUGAGAGAAGUAGGAAAGAUUAAGUUCACAACAAAAAUGGAAGAUUUAGGUAUGGAGCAAAAAUUAUGGUAAAAAUUGGAGAAUGCUCAUUUGUUGAGAGAAGUAGGAAAGAUUAAGUUCACAACAAAAAUGGAAGAUUUAGGUAUGGAGCAAAAAUUAUGGUAAAGUUUAUAGUCGAGUGCAACAAGUUGGAAUGAAGUCUGAUGAACACAUAAUUUUUCAAAUAUUUGUAAACUUCAAAGGAUGAGAAAUACCGAGAGUAUUGUUUAAACGAAAAAAUUACUUAUUUUAUAGGGCCAAUGUUUAAAUAAUGACUUCAAUAAAAUAAAAGGUACUAAUAUGUACUUUUAAAUUUGUUAAAUACAAAAAAAAUUCUUUUAUUUUUAUGAAUGAAAAAAAAAAUUUAUUUUGAACCAAUCAGCAUUAUUUCUUUUAUAUUGUAACUUUUGGUAUUAUUUUGUACUCCCUUUACUUCUUUUAUAGAAGAACACUAAUAUGUAUUUUUUAUUUCUUAAAUGCAAAAAAAAAAUUUCAUUUAUGUGAAAGGCCAAAAAAAAUUUGUACUUUUUUGGUAUUAUUUUAUACUCCCUGGAAAAAAAAAAGCUUUCGAGAAUGAAUAUAAGAGAAUUUGGUAUUAUUUUAUACUCCUUUCGAAAAAAAGCUUUCGAGAAUGAAUAUAAGAGAAUUUGGGGAUGUUUGAACUUAAUCGAACUCAUGCUAGUAGUGCGCAUAGACAUAUCAUAGCCAUAUAAGCCAGAAUGAAUUUGGAAUAGAGCCACAUGAAUUAGUUGUGAAUACAUUACUGUGACGACCCAGAUUUUUUUCGACCUAUAAGAGUGUACGGCGAAGAGAAGAAGAUAAAGUGUGUACGGUGGUGAAAAAGUACGCACAGCGAUGAAGAGAGAAGAACAAGAGAACGUGCGCACGGCGGUGAGAAAGUAUACACGACGGUUAAGAAAGAAGAAGAAAAGAAAGUGCGUAUGGCGGUGAAGAGAGAAGAAGAAUAAGAGCACACGACAGUGAGAAAGCGCACGGCAGUGGGAGAGGGCGUGCAUCAGAGUGAACACGCGGCAAUGUGAGAUGUGGGCCGUCGGGUGCAGCUUUAUGGGGUGGUUCAGGGGACUUUCUCUUAUUUUCUCUCAUAUUUAUGAACCAUUUAUCCCUUACUUGUUAAUUAAUUUGUGUGGCAUGUGUAUGCCACUUGUCAAGUGUAUGCCAUGUGUAGGUCUCGUGAUGCCACUUGUUGCAUGCUACCUCUUUCCUUUUUCUAUUUAUUUCGCCCC
rnacentral:lncRNA from 1 species